GUGAGGAAUAUUGCACAAUGGAGGAAACUCUGAUGCAGCAACGCCGCGUGGAGGAUGACGCAUUUCGGUGUGUAAACUCCUUUUAAGAGGGAAGAUUAUGACGGUACCUCUUGAAUAAGCACCGGCUAACUCCGUGCCAGCAGCCGCGGUAAUACGGAGGGUGCAAGCGUUACUCGGAAUCACUGGGCGUAAAGGGUGCGUAGGCUGACUUUUAAGUCAGGCGUGAAAUCCAAUGGCUUAACCAUUGAACUGCGCUUGAAACUGGGAGUCUAGAGUUCAGAAGGGGCAGAUGGAAUUAGUGGUGUAGGGGUAAAAUCCGUAGAUAUCACUAGGAAUAUCAAAAGCGAAGGCGAUCUGCUGGGAUGAUACUGACGCUGAGGCACGAAAGCGUGGGGAGCAAACAGGAUUAGAAACCCGAGUAGUCC
rnacentral:rRNA from 1 species